rnacentral:rRNA from 1 species
GAUGAACGCUGGCGGCGUGCCUAAUACAUGCAAGUCGAGCGAACAGAUAAGGAGCUUGCUCCUUUGACGUUAGCGGCGGACGGGUGAGUAACACGUGGGUAACCUACCUAUAAGACUGGGAUAACUUCGGGAAACCGGAGCUAAUACCGGAUAAUAUUUCGAACCGCAUGGUUCGAUAGUGAAAGAUGGCCCUGCUAUCACUUAUAGAUGGACCUGCGCCGUAUUAGCUAGUUGGUAAGGUAACGGCUUACCAAGGCAACGAUACGUAGCCGACCUGAGAGGGUGAUCGGCCACACUGGAACUGAGACACGGUCCAGACUCCUACGGGAGGCAGCAGUAGGGAAUCUUCCGCAAUGGGCGAAAGCCUGACGGAGCAACGCCGCGUGAGUGAUGAAGGUCUUCGGAUCGUAAAACUCUGUUAUUAGGGAAGAACAAACGUGUAAGUAACUGCGCACGUCUUGACGGUACCUAAUCAGAAAGCCACGGCUAACUACGUGCCAGCAGCCGCGGUAAUACGUAGGCGGCAAGCGUUAUCCGGAAUUAUUGGGCGUAAAGCGCGCGUAGGCGGUUUUUUAAGUCUGAUGUGAAAGCCCACGGCUCAACCGUGGAGGGUCAUUGGAAACUGGAAAACUUGAGUGCAGAAGAGGAAAGUGGAAUUCCAUGUGUAGCGGUGAAAUGCGCAGAGAUAUGGAGGGACACCAGUGGCGAAGGCGACUUUCUGGUCUGUAACUGACGCUGAUGUGCGAAAGCGUGGGGAUCAAACAGGAUUAGAUACCCUGGUAGUCCACGCCGUAAACGAUGAGUGCUAAGUGUUAGGGGGUUUCCGCCCCUUAGUGCUGCAGCUAACGCAUUAAGCACUCCGCCUGGGGAGUACGACCGCAAGGUUGAAACUCAAAGGAAUUGACGGGGACCCGCACAAGCGGUGGGGCAUGUGGUUUAAUUCGAAGCAACGCGAAGAACCUUACCAAAUCUUGACAUCCUUUGACCCUUCUAGAGAUAGAAGUUUCCCCUUCGGGGGACAAAGUGACAGGUGGUGCAUGGUUGUCGUCAGCUCGUGUCGUGAGAUGUUGGGUUAAGUCCCGCAACGAGCGCAACCCUUAAGCUUAGUUGCCAUCAUUAAGUUGGGCACUCUAAGUUGACCGCCGGUGACAAACCGGAGGAAGGUGGGGAUGACGUCAAAUCAUCAUGCCCCUUAUGAUUUGGGCUACACACGUGCUACAAUGGACAAUACAAAGGGCAGCGAAACCGCGAGGUCAAGCAAAUCCCAUAAAGUUGUUCUCAGUUCGGAUUGUAGUCUGCAACUCGACUACAUGAAGCUGGAAUCGCUAGUAAUCGUAGAUCAGCAUGCUACGGUGAAUACGUUCCCGGGUCUUGUACACACCACCCGUCACACCACGAGAGUUUGUAACACCCGAAGCCGGUGGAGUAACCAUUUGGAGCUAGCCGUCGAAGGUGGGACAAAUGAUUGGGGUGAAGUCGUAACAAGGUAGCCGUAUCGGAAGG